rnacentral:tRNA from 1 species
GGGGCUGUAGCUCAGCGGUAGAGUGCUCACCUUCCACGUGCGAGACCCUGGGUUCAAUCCUCAGCACCA